CUUCCAGUCUUGCAGAAGCAUCCAACAAAUUUUCAAUCAAGAUGAUGAGAGUUAUCUUAUUUCUCUGCUUCGUAUAUUUUGCUGUUGCAGCUGUUCCCAACCAAGUUCUUCCAGAGACGAAAAUCUUCGGCUCACUAUUGAGUGAUCUCGUCGUAAAUGCUGGCCUCUGUGCACCUCUGAAGCCAUUAUCGGAUGCCGUGAAUCAAUUCGUGACCACCUCCUGUUAAUGAUGGAAAGCAAAACACCAUUCAAGUGAAUAUAGACAAAUUGUUUCCUGAAAUGAAGAUUAAAGAUAAAUUAGAAAUUGUUUAGGGUUUCCAAAGGACCUGUAUUUUUGCCUCCAAAUUUUAAACCAACAUAUGAAAA